rnacentral:rRNA from 1 species
CCUACGGGAGGCAGCAGGGAGGAAUAUUGGUCAAUGGCCGUAAGGCUGAACCAGCCAAGUAGCGUGAGGGAAGACUGCCCUAUGGGUGGUAAACCGCUGUUAUGCGGGGAGAAAGGGGUCCACGUGGGGAUGUUUGCAGGUACCGCAUGAAUAAGGACCGGCUAAUUCCGUGCCAGCAGCCGCGGUAAUACGGAAGGUCCGGGCGUUAUCCGGAUUUAUUGGGUUUAAAGGGAGCGUAGGCCGGUCUUUAAGCGUGCCGUGAAAUUUUGUGGCUCAACCAUGAGAGUGCGGCGCGAACUGGCGACCUUGAGUGCGCGGCAGGCCGGCGGAAUUCGUGGUGUAGCGGUGACCUGCUUAGCUAUCACGAAGAACCCCGAUUGCGAAGGCAGCCUGCCGCAGCGUUCCUGCCGCUGAGGCUCGAAAGCGCGGGUAUCGAACAGGAUUAGAUACCCUAGUAGUC